UGCUUGAAACUUCGCUUCGGAAGUCCAACCGGCGAAUUCCAGAUUAGUGCUGCGAAGUCAAUAAUCCUGAUAUCAAGUGAAGCGAGGUCGGAGUGAAAAUGACCAAGUCCUGUUUUGAUCGAAUAACCGCAAGAAACAAAUAUAAACAUCUAACUGGGAAGGCUACUGGCUCGGACAAACUACAUCCUCCAUGACUUUCAUCAAUCCCCCAGAGAUUUAUAACAUCCGGGGAUCCAUUGCAGAGCAGUGAAAAUUUUAAAACAAAUAUCUAAUUUUUAAACUUGUUAUCAUGUAUUAUUCAUAUAGUUAU